rnacentral:tRNA from 1 species
UGGUCCCAUAGCUCAGCUGGAUAGAGCAUUCGCCUUCUAAGCGAACGGUCGCAGGUUCGAAUCCUGCUGGGAUCAGAUA